UACGGAAGGUGCAAGCGUUGUUCGGAAUGACUGGGCGUAAAGCGCACGUAGGCGGGUUUGUAAGUCGGAUGUGAAAUCCCUGGGCUUAACCUAGGAACUGCACUCGAUACUGCAAAUCUUGAAUGCUUGAGAGGUUGGUGGAAUUCCUGGUGUAGGAGUGAAAUCCGUAGAUAUCAGGAGGAACACCAAUGGCGAAGGCAGCACUCUGGGACGGUACUGACGCUGAGACGCGAAAGCGUGGGGAGCAAACAUG
rnacentral:rRNA from 1 species